GACGAACGCUGGCGGCGUGCUUAAUACAUGCAAGUCAACUGAACUUUAGGUAGCAAUAUUUAAAGGGAGGUGGCGCACGGGUGAGUAACACGUAGGUAAUCUGCCUUCAGGACUGACAUAAUUCCGCGAAAGCGGGACUAAAAUCAGAUGAUGCAGCGGCUCGACAUCGAGACAGUUGUUAAACCUUCGGGGCCUGAAGAUGAGCCUGCGUCUGAUUAGGUAGUUGGCGGGGUAAAAGCCCACCAAGCCUGCGAUCAGUAGCUGGUCUGAGAGGAUGAUCAGCCACACUGGAACUGAGACACGGUCCAGACUCCUACGGGAGGCAGCAGUAAGGAAUAUUGCUCAAUGGCCGAAAAGGCUGAAGCAGCAACGCCGCGUGGAGGGAUGAAAUACUUUAGUAUGUAAACUCCUGUAAGAGGGGAAAAUAUACAGCUAUGCUGUGUUGAUUGUACCCUCAGAGUAAGCACCGGCUAACUACGUGCCAG
rnacentral:rRNA from 1 species